GACGAACGCUGGCGGCGUGCUUAACACAUGCAAGUCGAACGGAAAGGCCCUGCUUUUGUGGGGUGCUCGAGUGGCGAACGGGUGAGUAACACGUGAGUAACCUGCCCUUGACUUUGGGAUAACUUCAGGCAACUGGGGCUAAUACCGGAUAGGAGCUCCUGCUGCAUGGUGGGGGUUGGAAAGUUUCGGCGGUUGGGGAUGGACUCGCGGCUUAUCAGCUUGUUGGUGGGGUAGUGGCUUACCAAGGCUUUGACGGGUAGCCGGCCUGAGAGGGUGACCGGCCACAUUGGGACUGAGAUACGGCCCAGACUCCUACGGGAGGCAGCAGUGGGGAAUAUUGCACAAUGGGCGGAAGCCUGAUGCAGCAACGCCGCGUGCGGGAUGAAGGCCUUCGGGUUGUAAACCGCUUUCGCCUGUGACGAAGCGUGAGUGACGGUAAUGGGUAAAGAAGCACCGGCUAACUACGUG
rnacentral:rRNA from 1 species